rnacentral:miRNA from 1 species
CUGCGCCGCGACUUUCGGACGAG